UAAUACAUCCUACGUUCAGUGAAUGGUUAUAAGAAGUAAGAGACUAUUACUACUUCUGCUACGGCUUUCUACAGCUCUCGACUACGGCUUUUAUACUUUAAUUCUGUUAAACUUAUUUACGGCAAAUUCUUCGCACGUUCUUUUCCCGCGUACUGUUACCCGACUUCCAACUUCUAGUGUUGCCAACUUCUCUCUCCAACCAAGGGUGCCAACUGCUCAAUAUAUCGCCUGCUUACAUACGGUCAUCCUGCUAAGUGUCGUCUGUCCCAUCUCCAUAACUUAUGUUAUCUACACUUGUUGAGGCAUAAUUAGGACCUUUAAACACCACAGCCUUCUUAACGUCAGAGCGACCACAUCGUUUCACUUUGACCACUUCGAAUGGGUAAAAAAAGUAUUAGCCACCGGUGACGAACUGCGUUCGCAUUUGCAUCUGUAUGCUAACUUUUCGGUGCAUUUCUUGACUCUCAUUCCCAAAGUCCUCCAUCAAUUUUUGUUUCAGAAGCUUAGUUACCAUGUCUGUAAUUUUGGUCAGCAUCUUGUUACCAAAAAUCAGGUCGAAUGCGGCUUUUUGUGUUGUCGAAUAAACAUGUGACUUGAUUGCGUUUUGGACUUCGGCAACGAAAAUAUACAAUUCAGUUGUAUUGUUUGUAGAAAGUUUUCUAAUGAUGCAGUUUUCUUCUGAAUCUGAAUCGUAUUUUGCUUCAUGAAAAGUGCCUGAGGUGAAAGCUCUAUCUGUCACGAUCCUAGCAGGAAAUCCAAAAAUGUUUGACAAUUUCUCCAGAUUUUUGAUACCUCCAUCGUAGGAGCCGAAGUUUUUGUAAAGAACAACGACACAAAAAUUUCAAAAAUACUUUAACCAUUGCAAAAAUGUUUUUUUAAAGUUUUGCCUUAGAAUCCAUUGGGACUAGAUGAUCCAGAUGUAGCGUCUGUAACGGUUGACCUCCUGUGUCCAUACAAUUCAGUUAUAACCCUAUGCUACAAUAGUUUUCAAGUGCCUUUUCAAACUCUACUCCUCUGUAUUUUCUGUAUACCGCUUAGCCAUCGAUUACAAACUAAUGGUUUCUUCUUAAAUAUUCCUGGACAACAAGCCGCAUGUUACACAAGUAUGCUGCUGGCUGUAUAUAUGUCGUUCUAAAACGCUAUCAGAGGUCUCUUUACUCCACAAAAAUAAUGGAUAAACAUAUUCUCCAAAUCGCUGAAGCAACGAUGCGCUCAGUCCCUAAUUUGAAGCGUCUGUGUGCAGUUCCGUGGGAGCAUUCUGUGAAUAGAUUUUAAGAACUGGUUCUUGGCAAAGGCUGAUUAGAUGCGUUCAACUCCUCGGUGUUCAUCUUAAAUACAUCAAUUUAAAACGGAAUUCAAAAGUACACGGCUUUGAUAUUUACCCAUCAUAUCCUGAUGUUCUUAAUGCUAAACUAAAGCUUAGACCAAAUGGAAUCGAGUAUUUUGAGAAUAAAGCGCAAGUUGAGUUACAACAACUCUUAAACCACACAACUUCGCGGAUUCUUGAAAUGCAGUAUGAAACUUUCAAAGCAAAUACCAACUCGAUAGAAUGUCAAUUAAUAUUUAGCUGUGGAUAUGAUGGAUCAACUGGUCAGAGUAUUUAUAAGCAACGUUAUGAGGAAAUCGGUGCUGUAUAUGAUGGAUCGCUGUUUGUUACUACAAUUGUGCCAUUAAAAUUAGUAGACAAUUAACAAAAAAUAAUUUGGAUCAACAGAUCGCCACAAUCUAUACGGUUUUGUCGUCCUUUAAAAAAUAUUAAGGAAACUCGAGAGCUUAUAUUAGCAGAAAAAGAAAACUUGGAUACUCAGACUCGUAAUCUGCACAUAUAUUUGCAUAAAAUCAACAACAUUAAUAUAUUUGUUAAAUAUGUCAAAUAUAAUUGUUUGGUGCCUGUUGGCUGUCUUGGCGAGCAUGCGUCGAAUCGAGGAAAAAAUUAUAUAAGAGCGAUCGGAGAAGACAUGCAAGAAAAUGCAGUCGCCUAGAUACUAUGACCGAUAUUUUUAACAGAGCUCUAGAUACGUCUGAUCCUUUGUUGUCUAGUAUUUAUCUAAAAGAAAGACAAAGGAAAAAUAAAAACAAAAAUAUGCCGCAAGAGGUCAUUUCUCUACUUAAAUCACCAUGCGUUGGAAGCGAUCAUGAUGAUCAUGGUGAUUGUCAGGACAUCGACGAGGGCGAGGAGAACGAUGAAAGAGAACUUCUACAGAAAGAUCAUGAUCUUGAUGUAAUAGCCUCAGACGAAGAGUUUUUUUAAAUUAAUAAAUAAUAAGUUUAGUUUUUUUGACAAAAUGAUUUGGACCAUCAUAUACAUCUUAAUAUGAUUUUAUUUUAUUUGAUUUUCUGUAUAUAAUGUCAAUAAAAUAUGUAAUUAAAUAUUGA